rnacentral:lncRNA from 1 species
CUCGGAUCUUUUAUCAAAUAGCUUCCUUAACUAUGGCAGCUUUCACAGUGAGAAGGGAAAAGCCGACACUGGUUGUGCCCUCAAAGCCGACGCCACGAGAACUGAAGCAACUCUCAGACAUAGAUGAUCAAGAAGGCCUCCGACAUCUGAUUCCGGUGAUCAUGUUCUACAAGUGAAUCGUUUCAUGGACGGAGAAGACCCCGUCAAGGUCAUGCCGAGAAGCACUAUCCAAAGCCCUUGUGUUUUACUACCCACGGCCGGAAAGCUAUUGAGAACCAACCGAACUUGUGGUGGAUUGCACGAGCGAAGGGGUUUUGUUAAUAGAGGCAGAUGCAGAUGUUGAGACUCGACCAAGCUAAUGCGUUGACACCAUGCCACAAGGUUGUUGGUACUUGGAUGAGAUUUUUGGCACAAUUACCUGGUAUGAAGGAAUCUUGGCGCCCUCUCUGUUAAUUCAGGUAUGUUGAUAUAACUAAUCGAAAAAUUAUACGUUAAAAAAAAACGACAUGUCAGGAAAAAAUUUGACACGUCAAUAGUUUGGUGUGGCAAUCUAUGAUUAUCUCCAUGCCUCGUCAUUUUGCUGGUUCCAUGCACACGUACCGUUUGGCAAUGGAAUAAAAAUACGUCUGGGAUCGACGGUUCUUUAUGUUGGUGCUGAUAAGAAAAUCCACAUGAAAUGUGUUUUAAGCAUUACACUAGGGCAAAAACCCAGAACGACAAUUAAAGACCGAGAAAAAUCUAACACCUCAUUGAUUGUGGAUGGUACCCGUAUGUAGAAUGGAUACGACUUCUGGACGUUCUUUUAGCGAAUGGUUUACGAUAUUGUUUUUUUUUGUGAUGCAGGAUGGACCGUUUUAGAUGCGGUUGGAUUAGCCUUUGCCUUUAAGCAUCACUAAAACCACACAUGAGUGAUGCGCCCCGGGUUGGUCAAUUCCUAACUGCAAUCGCUGAGUUUGCCCGAGGGGGAGGACGGUGACAACUUCUGUGCCACAGUGUGCAAAGGACAGUUCAUAGCUGCAGACAACCUCCCUCCAUCACAUAUCCAGCAUCACGAAUACGAGCAAGGGAUGACACCCCACCCCCACCCACGACACACAAUAAAAAAGAUCAAAAGUCUUUCUUUUUCGGUCCCAAGGAGGGAUUAAAAGCAAUUCGAAGCCAUCUUCCCCCACACCACCGCUCAAUAAGCAUCCACAUUUGAGGUCUGACCGCGUUGUGGUAUGGAGGUCGCGCACAGUGCAUUGGACUAGAUCCGACGAGAAAGGGUUUCGGUUCCUGCCCCUUUAGUCAACGACGUGGCAAGCACGACACCUAGACGGUACCUAAAGGAUACUAUGGCAAUUGUCUUGCUCCAGCUGUAGUUUCAAGGGCUAGGAUGGUAUCUACUUACCGUUGGAAUACGCAGUGGACUUGGUGAAGAAGGCGGCGGCCAGACUGACUGGAGAGUAUUUGAGAUCUUGGCAGAUUUAUGGUGGGCUACGGCGGCCUCUAAUAUAAGGAAGGGAACUAUUGGUGUCCGACACGAACACGCAGGGCUUUGACACGAGGAUUUGGGUGGGGGAAACCGGGUAUAUGGAGGCCCCGUUAGCGGCCUUUUCUUAGCUUCAUACAAGUUCAAAGAUGGAUUAUGGUACUAAUGUGUGGUGUUGGCAGAAGCGUAAUGGUAAGGUUUCAAGAGGAGUUGAAGAAAAAUGAGAUGAAGAGCGUGUGGCCGGCUAUUGAUCAAAAAGCCACACAAAUGUUGUCCAGGAUCUAAAUUAAAUUCGAGUACUUAAAGGAUGAUUUUCUUUGUUUUUUCCUUUUUUCUUUUUUCAUUUUUCUUUUUUCUUUUUUCUUCUGUUAGAUCUUUACACAAUAAAAUUUUUAUUCAGUGUUUUGUUAUCGAGGAAUGCGGACAAAAAAAUGUUUCUAUGUUGUUGGGCUUUUGUGCAAGAGUUUUUUUUUUCACUCUCAAUACCCUAGGUAAAUUUCUUAUGACCAAGUCGUAUAGGCAUGAUACUUGGAGAUCUGUUUCCGAGGUCUUAAAUUUAAGACUUAGUGCUAUUAAUUCUUGAGUUUGGUAAGUCUAUACGAAAUUUUGCUCCAACUUUAAUCAACACUCCCGCUAGUGGACAGUAGAAUUUGACUCCCAAACGAGUCAAUCUUUGCACUGUAUACCAAGUUAUCAAAAAAAUUCUCCUUAAUGUGCUUUCUUUCUUUACUGAGAUCAAAGUAGUAGAAAUUUAGGCGUUAGAGAACAUUUGAGUCUUAAUGAACAGGCUGCUCUUGAUUAGGUAAGUUAUGAAUUUUCUUUUCUUUUUUUCAAAUAUUUACUCUUUUUUUUUUAAAAUUUGUACUAUAAAUAUUCAAGAAAACAAGAACAAACUUAUUUUUGUUUAAGCCUACUGGCACCCAAUUUUUAAAGUUUUCCGGAUCCAAACUGAAAAAGCUCUUCGAUGAUGGAAUGGAAAGAUCUGAUGUGAUUGUUUAGUACCGUAUAAUAGAUGGAUAAUCCAUAGAUGCAUAGGUAUUAGGGUUACUACCCUGUUGUAUACUUGUUGAGAUAAAAACUGGUUUUAUAUAAGCCAAGAUUUUUUUAAGUUUGUUACUAAAAAAGUCAAUUUUUUUUGGCUUUUUUACUUUUCUGGCUUUAUUUUACCUAAAAAUAAACAAAAAAAUAAAAAGCAAAAAGCAAAAAAAAUAAUUAUUUCUUUUUUUUGCUUAUAAACUUAAAAAAAAUUAGCCGAAAAACUGGUAUCAAACGGAGCCAAAGAUCAAUGGAAUCGUGACCUAUAAGGCUUUGACGUUUUUAACAUUAAAUCCAUGUAACUCUUCGGUAAAGCUCAAAAACAAUUUUAGAUUCUGCUUUUAGAAGAAUAGUUUUCUGAAAUUGUUUAUGAGAACAAAAAUAUACAUUUGUUUCUAAAUUAUUAUUUUUUUACCAUAAAUAAUUUUUGAAAAUAAUUUUUUUUUUAAUAUUUUUUAAAAUUGCAACUUUUUUGAAAAUUUUUCAAAGAAACAAAUUUUGGAAACCAUCAAUUUAUUAGCAAACUAGCUAUUCAACAAAACUGAUUUUAAAAACUAAAGCAAACAUAAUCAUUAGUGGCGUUCAUUUCAACUUUUGCCGACAUUCUUAUAUUGUAUAGAAUGGCCGCCAAAUGCAUGGGAGUACGAUAUGAGCCUACAUAAAAGAAUACGAAUUUAUAUGUACAAUUGCGAAUUGAUCAAACAAGCUGAGAAAAGAUCAAUGAGAAACUUUUACAAAUGUUGAUGGAUAAUGAUUUUUAUAAUCUUCCUUUUACCAAUUGUGCUCUUUGUCUUUGUGUUUGUCUCGAUGAAUUUAUCCAAAUAAUUAUUUUUAUUUAAAUAUUUUUACUAAAAAGAUAUUUGACAAUAAUUAGAGAAAGAAAAAUAUAAAAAUCACUAGUCAUAUUGAUUAUCAAACAAGCCAAGGGGAGGAGUUUCACUCUAAGGUCUAUCGGAGGAAUUUCUCACACCUUUAAUCCAUGUCAAAUAAAUUUAAAGCCAAAACUUUUUUAUCAUACUAGAAAAAAAUAUCCUCUUACUCUCUACAUCACUUCUUCUUUCUCACUAGACCAUAGUCAUCCUUACCAUCUCCGGCAACUACCACCGGCAACUUUUCCGUAACUUUUCUGGCGAACUUUUUCAAAAAUAAAUUUCAUUAUUUGUUUUUUGAGAUUUAUUUAUCUAUGGAAAACUUAAUUGCCAAAAAAUCACUUAACUGUUACUAUUUCUAAAAAAUAAAACUUAAUUGCUAUAAAUUGUACUAUUUCAAACAAUAAAUCUUACUAUUUCAAACAAUAAAACUUAACUAUUAACCAUUUUUUUAUUGUAGCAAACUCCGAACAAAUAAAACUUAACUGUUAUUAAAAUAAAAAAAACUCAACUGAUAAAUUUAAUUUUUUGAACAUAUAAAAUCAAACUGUUACAAAUAAAUUUAAAUUAGCAAACAAAUAAAUUUUAACUGUUAGAGCUAAACUUUAAUUGGUGAACAAUAAAUAUAUUGUUGCCAAGUAAGUUUUAAUUGUUCGAACCAUAUACAUUUAAUAACAGACUUUUAAAAGAUUGUUUCAUUCACCAAAAAUAAAAUAAUUUGUUAACAUUGAUUUUUUCACUCAAACACCAAACACAUAAGACAAAUUACCCCCCAAAAAUUUAUUAGUAAUGACAACGGGGAGGAGUUGGUAGUGGUAGAAGGCAAUGUGGCGGUUGGGAGAGAGAAAGGGGGAGAAAGGAAGGGGUAGUUGGUAGUGGUGGCAGCAAAUGCGACCGCAAUACAGUAGUAACAGCAAUGAAUGUGAUGUGGCAAUGUGAUGACUGGUAGUGGUGAAAGGUCUUGGCAGUGUUCUUGAUCAUAGAUCUGAGAGAGAGAGAUUUAACAGCGGUGGCGGCUGUGAUGUCACAAUAGCACGACGACGAUGUGGCACGCUGGCUGUGGUGGCGACGGUGGUGUGACAAUGGCAGCGACGAAGGUGUGACUGUGGCUGUGAUGACAGUGUGUAUGUAGUAGAGAGAGAAAGUAGAGAUAAGAGUUGAGAUAAACUUUAAUUUUUUUUGUCUUUUAUGUUCUUGGUUAUAAAAGGAGGACAAUAUUGUCUAAAGUUCUCACCUAUAAGCCUUAAUUUCAUGGAUCCUAGUUCAAAAAUCUUUUAAAUGAUGAUUUUUUUUAUUUUUAUAAAAAUUAAAGUAGACUCAAGAUAAUAAAUGCUCAAUGCCAGAUGGAACAUUCACAAAAUAUUUUUAGAAAAAAAGUUAACUCUUCGACAUCCUUCUAUCUUGAUUUGAUUAGAUUCAUUAAAUAUUAAAUUAAGAAAUCUACUUGUUAAUACCCAAACUACGUGAUGAGAAUUAAUUUGUUUGUUUUGAUAAUUUGGUGUAGGUUUAAUAGAUUGAGUAUUAUGCCGAACCAUUCUAUCACCAUCGUGAAGAUUAAAAUUAGGACAGAAACUUGUAUAUAUGGAUGAUCCUAAAAUUGCUGAUAAAAAUUUUAAUCUUACGUUCUUGGGAUCAAGCUAGUCAUUACUUAGUGGCCAACUUGCAUUCCACCACAGGUUUACAUAACGUAAAUUAUUGAUGGUACUUGAUAGAUUAUUCAAAUUAUUCAAGAUAAUAACUUUUAAAAAGACUUAAUUAACCACUGAGCUUCUUACGUAAAGAUUAAAUCCCUUUGCCUCAUAAGAUGAUGAUCCUUCACAGGCUAAAGUCGCCAACGUAUAUAAAAAAUAGGCUCAAUGAAUUACCAUAACUAUUUAACUUUAUGCCAUAUCAUUCAACGGUUAUGUCUAUAGUUACCGUGUUCGAGAUUAGUCUAACCCUGAUUUCUUGUGCAACACUUAACUGUUGACUAACCAUUAUAUUUUAAGUCGUCAAUGUACUAACCCAAGGGGAGUCGACUUGUGGUUUGUAGAAAAGAUGAUUUCUGUGAGUUUUUUACUCGACCAUAAUCCGUAGACAAUCGUUCAGUCGGAGGUAGAUAGGGUCGAAACGUUUCUGAUCAAGGACCGAACAAUCGACGUCAAUCAGUUGUUGAUCGGUUGGGUUACAAGUUUGACGUGGAGUUUUGAUCAUGUUGUUAGAGAGAUGUUUUUUCUCUCUCUGGAUUUUAAAGUUAAGAUAAGAUUUGGAGCUAAUAAUAAGUUAAGAUAAUGGUAAUGUUAAGACAAUAACAAAUGUUAAAGCACAAUAGAGUGAGAUUGGACAAGUCCGAUUUACAUUCUAGAUAAUGAUAAAACUAACUUUAAAUUACCAUAAAUAUGAUUUUAAUAUCAAAUCUCGAGAGAUAGAUCUGGUGAUUUCUGGCAAAGUAUGAAUUAAUUGUUUUGGUGUUUUUGUCUUUUUUUUGUUUUUGGUGUGGAAGCAGGUGGUGACUCGUUUUAGAAGAGCGUAGAUUAGAUUGGCCUUUGCCCUCGCCGAAACACACGAUGAGUGAUUUAGCCGGGUUGGUCCCAAUUCCUGACCGCAGAGUUGGAAAUGCACCUUCUGUGCCAGGGGCCAAGCUUGCAAGACAAACCUCCUCCAUCAGAUUCAGUAUUACGAAUAUGAGCAAGUGAUCGAACCCACCCAUCCACGGACAACAACAAAAACACGAUCUGCAAGUAUUUCCUUCAGUCCCGAGGAAUAAGAGCCAUUCGACGACGUUCUUUCCCAAAAACCAUCGUUUCAAUAAGUUCCAUAUUCUACGUCCUGACUACAUGUUAUGGACGGCUCCACGUGGCGCGCUAGACCUCAAUGACACGGUUUGCAUCCGCGUGCAUAGUCACAUCAUUGGCACAGCCACACUUGUAAAAGUGGGAUCAAUUGACUCAUUUGUGAAAAAAAAUAUACAAUUAUCCCAUAAUAUAAUAUCCAUAGAUCUAUUUGACCCAUACUUUUUUUUUUUAUCUAAUUUCUACAAUUCCUAGCAUUGCUGAAUAUAAAAUUUUUGACAUUUUAAUCGGUUUGAAACUUAAGUCUAUAAUUUUUAGCCCUAUAAAAUAUUAGUAAUAUGUCCUACAUUUUUUAAAAUUCUACAAUUUUGAUCAAGUUUCUGACUCCAACUUGUUUAACGUACAUGGAAGUGUUUGCCCAAAACGAUUUACCAGUCACUCUACCAACAUCAACCACACCCCAAGACAAGAUUUACGUGGUUCGCCAACAUGCAUACGUCCACGGAGAGGAUCUGUUAAUUCACUAUCAAAAUGAAUUACAAUAAAUACAAAGGAGGAGAUCACACUAACUCCUCACCUCUCUUCGUCUCAGUCUUGCUCUCUUCACUCACAGCACUCAUCAAUCUAUACUGCCCUUCUCACUCUCUCCCACUUCCACACUCUUUGUCUCUCAAACGGAGCCUUUAAUAGAGAAGAUCGGGCCCCAUUGUUGACAUUUUCAGCAGCUCUUCUCUCUCUGCCAUUCUUUUCUUCCUCCCCUGUCUAUCUUUUCUCCGCCGCUUCAAUCAGGACAAAGUCUCUGACAAACGUACCAAUUGGAGGCUGCUUCUAGAAGAGAUUUUGGUAGAUUGGCCAGGCUUAGGCCUUGGACAAGCUUUGUCCUUGGGCUUGGUUGGGUUUCAUGGCUUGGUCCUCCCACCUUGGGCUUUGAUCCUAUGGCUUCAUUGGGCUGGACUUCCAACAAUCUCCCCCUCCAGCCACUUGGAGGGUAAUCUGAUCCAGCUCCCCCGUAAUAUCUACAAGACUGUCCUAUAUAUCUGUUGCCUCAUCAAUGGGCAAUGCACUUCCAGACUAAGUGCCUGCACCUUCUCCUUAGUACCUGCUCCCCCUCACCGGAGAGCUCCGCAAGUUACAUCACUUUGCGAGUUUUUCGUUGCUCUCUCUUCUCGCUCCCUUGUGUAACACAUGUGAAGAAUCACUGCCACUAAUCAAUCGAGAGCAAAAGGGAAGACUCGUUUCCGGCUACGUCGCGCCUGUCGAUUUACAACUCUUCAGAAUUGACUUGUCUCCUCCCUCUGUACCUUUUCUAUGAACAUCCUGCCUGGUCUUGCACUGGUCUUUUUCUGGUCAGAUUUCCCGCACUUGUCUCAAAGCUCCCUUGCGUACCACCUGGCUCCUACAGGUGUCUCUUCGCUUUAUGCUUUGUUUGUCCUGUGUGCACCUGUUGCUUUCCUUUUGUCCAUUCUUCCCUUCUAAUCACUGGACCCAUGCGUGACAGCUCUUCUUCCUUCCGGACAUUCCCCUCCAUCGUAUAUCCUUUGAUCUUCCUUCCCCUCAGCAUCUCUUUGUUUCCCUUGAAAUGUCUCAAGAUUCCUCCCGGUAGCUGGCAUCGCUGUCAACCCAUUGAAUCUAACAUUCCGAUGGAACAAAUUCUUCCUUAGUUUGGAACAGCCGUACCGCGGUCACGUCACAGACCUCCGUCUGCCAUGCGACCGUACUGUGCCCUUGCCAACAACUUUGUUCGUCGUUUUGUUCGCCAUCCUUACAAGUCCUCGCAUGUUGCGUAUGUAGAGAACAGCUCCUGUCUCGACACAAAUGGUAGGCCACUUUCUGAAUCCAAUACCCUCUGGAUCUCAUCUGCCAUGAUACUAGGAAUGCAUCAUUAACUGAAUCUGUCAUGACUGAUGCCGUGCUGUCUCGGAAGACUGAAUCUGUGGCUUGAUACUUUGGGCACUUCCCUCUUCAUAUGCCCUUCUUGGCACAGAAAAAACACUUAAAACUGCGACCCCUUGAUUGUGACCUCGGUCGUCCUCUCCAUUAUUCCUCUGGUGACCUCGCCUCUUUCCCUUCUUCCGUCUGAGAUUAUGGCCUGCGACCUUUUCGCUCUGUCAUGCCUCAUCUUCUUUCUUCCGUGCUUCUUCGUUGAAUAGGGCGUCCUUGACUUUACUCAAAGUCAACUUCCCAUCCUGCUCGGAAUUACUGAGAAAACCACAUGUCUCCGCACUUUCUGGUAAAGAACUCAGAAGCAGUAGAGGCCUGCAUUUCAUCGUCAAUGUAGUCUAUACUGGCCAACUGGUUUACCAAAUUUUGAACUCGCUCGUAUGUUUCCGCCACUGUCCCUCUCUUCAGUUUUCAGAUUCACAAGCCUCCUCAUCAAUAGGCCUUGUUCGAGAUGUCUUCGCCUGUUACAGUCAUCUCGCAUUUGGUCCCAUAGAUCAUUAAAGCACUCGUCUCGUGUGCUACGUGUGAACACCUCGCUGUCCAAUGCACUGUCUGAUUAGCCCGAUUGUUUUUUUUUUUUUUUUUUUUUUUUUUUUGCUGUUCAUCUUCGUCCACUCCUCAUCCUUCUUUUGCCGUUUUUUUUCUCCUAUUCUCUAAAGGAUCAUGCAAAUCUUGCAGAAUGAUGUCUGCCAUCCUCGUUUCCAUAGAGCGUAAUUUGUAGCGGGGGGGGGUGAAAGCAUGAUCAUAGCUCCCAUUAGUCUCCGUCAGAUUACUCUCUAUAAUAGAAGCAAAAAUCUUUCGAACAUCCGACCCUGCGGAUGGAUCCGGAACUCCGAGAAAAACCAGAAUAACAGGCUUUCCGUCAAAAAUCAGACACUUUCUUGACCAACGUGAAUAAAUUGAAACUUUAGGGACUAAAAAUUGAAAAAUUCAAUUUUUCCAGGGACCCAAUUCAUUGCAAUUUCCAAAACUCCAGGGGCCUCAAUUGAAAUUUCCCAACCUUGCAUCGGGACCAAAUUUGAAAAUAUCAGAAAGUUCUGGACCAAAAGUUAAUUUUCACUUUUCAGGUCAACGGCUGUGUCAACGGUCCCCCAACGUUUACCAGAUACCUGUCAGUCGGCGGCGGUCAGCUGGGCGGCGGUCAACUGGUCCAAACGGCUCAAGAUUUGACCAAACCGGCUCGCUCCCGCGCGGAUUAGGCGCGGCUUGGCGCGGCUCACGCGCGACGCAGGUCCCUCAAGGCUCGUGUACUGCCUAGCUGACGUGGCUGGGUUCGUGGACUUGUGAUCGGCUUCGUCGAGUGGCCGGCCGUUCCCGCGAGUUUGCCGCCAAUCGCUGGACUGUGUAGGCGCGUGCGGUGCGCUUGAUCGUCCUGGCUGCUAGUUGCCCUCGCCACUCGCGUGGCCCUGCUUUGCAGGCACGACGUGAGACGCGUGAGGACACCGUGGCAGCGCGUUCGGUUGGCGCGAGGCGCGUCAGGCCCUCUCGGGCGCGUGCUGCGCGCGUGGCGCCGUGGAGCGUGAAUCUCAGGCGUCUUCAACCUCUCGGGCGCGUGUGGGCCGCUGAUCCUGACUCUCCGACCUUCAAACGUCGGCGCGUGAAGGGCUCGUUGGAGUCCGAUUUGCUCCGUUCAUCUGGUGCUGUAGCUUCGUAUCGACGAGACGAAGAGUAUGGUAUGCCUCAAAUCUCAGUUUUUGAGCAUUCGAUAUUUGGUCAGAAUUCAAAGAUGUACUCCGGUGGUACUCCGUGACUCGAACUUGCUCUGAUACCAUUGUUGUGCCCCAAACGAGUUACCAGUAGUCACUCUAACCAACAUCAACCACACCCCAAAAACCCAAGACAAAGUUUACUGUUGUCGGCCACAAUGCCUACGUCCAACGGAGAGGAUCUGUUUAAUUCACUAUCAGAAAUGA